UCUCCGUCUCCCAAACAGAGAUUGCACUUUUCUUUGUUGUUCCACAUUUGCUUCUGUUGCUGCUUGCUUUGUUUGCUGUGAUGACAAACUUUCCAUGUGUACAACAAAUGGACUGAAAAUUGGAACUAAGAGCUGACUGGCCUUUAUGAAGAUGCUGGCUCCUGGGUCUACCUCAGUGAAUGGCAACCCACUACAAGGAGUCAGUCAUCUGAAUAUAGAUUUUUGGACCAUCCGUUUCAUCACGGCAUUUCAUCGAAAGCCUAGAAUUUCAUUUAUUUUCAGUUACAGAGAUAAAGUGUUUGUAAACGAUGUGAUAAGACCAUAAAGAAAAGUGAAGUGAAAUUCAGCUCCAUCCAAAGAUGAUAAAUACAACACCUACUUUGAACACCAGGAUUAUUGCAGGAGAAAAAUGAGAUAUCGGAAGUCAGCAGCUAUGUUUAAGAUAAGAACUUUUUUUUCCUGUGGAUUUUUCAUUAAAUUCAUGGCCCAAUAAAGAAUUCUCUGAAUGAU